CGGGCUGAGUAACACGUAGGAACGUACCCCAAACUGAGGGAUAAGCUCCAGAAAUGGUGUCUAAUACCGCAUGUGAUCUUCGGAUUAAAGCUUCGGCGGUUUGGGAACGGCCUGCGCAUGAUUAGCUUGUUGGUGAGGUAAUAGCUCACCAAGGCGACGAUCAUUAGCUGGUCUGAGAGGAUGAUCAGCCAGACUGGGACUGAGAACGGCCCAG
rnacentral:rRNA from 1 species